GACAGAGGGUGCAAACGUUGUUCGGAAUUACUGGGCGUAAAGCGCGUGUAGGUGGCGAGGCAAGUCGGGUGUGAAAGCCCUGGGCUCAACCCAGGAAGUGCACUCGAUACUGCCUAGCUAGAGUCCCGGAGAGGUUGGUGGAACUCUCGGUGUAGAGGUGAAAUUCGUAGAUAUCGAGAAGAACACCGGUGGCGAAGGCGGCCAACUGGACGGUGACUGACACUGAGACGUGAAAGCGUGGGGAGCAAACAGG
rnacentral:rRNA from 1 species